rnacentral:rRNA from 1 species
GACGAACGCUGGCGGCGUGCUUAACACAUGCAAGUCGAACGGAAAGGCCCUGCUUUUGUGGGGUGCUCGAGUGGCGAACGGGAGGGUAACACGUGAGUAACCUGCCCUUGACAUUGGGAUAACUUCAGGAAACUGGGGCUAAUACCGGAUAGUAGCUCCUGCUUCAUGGUGAGGUUGGGAAAGUUUCGGCGGUUGGGGAUGGACUGGCGUCUUAUCGGCUUGUUGGUGGGUUAGUGGCUUACCAAGGCUUUGCCGGGUAGCCGGCCUGAGAGGGUGACCGGCCACAUUGGGACUGAGAUACGGCCCAGACUCCUACGGGAGGCAGCAGGGGGGAAUAUUGCACGAUGGGCGGAAGCCUGAUGCAGCAACGCCGCGUGCGGGAUGACGGCCUUCGGGUUGUAAGCCGCUUUCGCCUGUGACGAAGCGUGAGUGACGGUAAUGGGUAAAGAAGCACCGGCUAACUACGUG